GAUGAACGCUGGCGGCGUGCCUAAUACAUGCAAGUCGAGCGAAGUGGGGACGGGUGAGUAACACGUGGAUAACCUCCUAUAAGACUGGGAUAACUUUGGGAAACCGGAGCUAAACCGGAUAUUUAUAGAUGGAUUCCCGUUGCAUUAGCUAUUUGGUAAGGUAACGUCUUACCAGGGCAAGGAUCCUUAGCGGACCUGAAGGGGGUAUCGGCCACACUGGAACUGGGAACCGGUCCGAACUCCUCCGGAGGGCAGCGGUAGGAAAUCUUCCGCAAUGGGCGAAAGCCUAACGAAGCAACGCCGCGUGAGUGAUGAAGGUCUUCGGAUCGUAAAACUCUGUUAUUAGGGAAGCGGUACCUAAUCAGAAAGCCACGGCUAACUACGUGCCAGCAGCCGCGGUAAUAC
rnacentral:rRNA from 1 species